rnacentral:rRNA from 1 species
UGGGGAAUAUUGGACAAUGGGCGAAAGCCUGAUCCAGCCAUGCCGCGUGUGUGAAGAAGGUCUUCGGAUUGUAAAGCACUUUAAGUUGGGAGGAAGGGCAGUAAGUUAAUACCUUGCUGUUUUGACGUUACCAACAGAAUAAGCACCGGCUAACUUCGUGCCAGCAGCCGCGGUAAUACGAAGGGUGCAAGCGUUAAUCGGAAUUACUGGGCGUAAAGCGCGCGUAGGUGGUUUGGUAAGAUGGAUGUGAAAUCCCCGGGCUGAACCUGGGAACUGCAUCCAUAACUGCCUGACUAGAGUACGGUAGAGGGUGGUGGAAUUUCCUGUGUAGCGGUGAAAUGCGUAGAUAUAGGAAGGAACACCAGUGGCGAAGGCGACCACCUGGACUGAUACUGACACUGAGGUGCGAAAGCGUGGGGAGCAAACA